CCCUUAGAUGUUCUGGGCCGCACGCGCGCUACACUGAUCGGUGCAACAAGCAUCCGUCCUUGGCCGACAGGCCCGGGCAAUCUUUGAACGCCGGUCGUGAUGGGGAUAGACCUUUGCAAUUUUUGGUCUUCAACGAGGAAUUCCUAGUAAACGCAAGUCAUCAACUUGCAUUGAUUACGUCCCUGCCCUUUGUACACACCGCCCGUCGCUCCUACCGAUUGAAUGGUCCGGUGAAGCGUUCGGACCGUGGCCUUUGGACGGUUCGCCGUCUGUUGGCUGCGGGAAGUUCGUUAAACCUUAUCAUUUAGAGGAAGGAGAAGUCGUAACA
rnacentral:rRNA from 1 species